ensembl:misc_RNA Y_RNA Y RNA
AGCUGGUCUAAGUGCAGUGGUAUUUACAACUAAUUGAUCACAACUGGUUAAAAUUUCUUUGUUCCUUUUGCAGUCCCACUGCUUCACUUGAAUAGUUAAAC